rnacentral:rRNA from 1 species
UACGGAGGGUGCAAGCGUUAUCCGGAUUCACUGGGUUUAAAGGGUGCGUAGGUGGAGUGGUAAGUCAGUGGUGAAAUCUCCAAGCUUAACUUGGAAACUGCCGUUGAUACUAUCAUUCUUGAAUAUCGUGGAGGUAAGCGGAAUAUGUCAUGUAGCGGUGAAAUGCUUAGAUAUGACAUAGAACACCAAUUGCGAAGGCAGCUUGCUACACGAUCAUUGACACUGAGGCACGAAAGCGUGGGGAUCAAACAGG